rnacentral:rRNA from 1 species
GAACGGGUGAGUAACACGUGGAUAACCCGCCUCAAGGCUGGGGAUAACAUUUGGAAACAGAUGCUAAUACCGAAUAAAACUUAGUAUCGCAUGAUAUCAAGUUAAAAGGCGCUACGGCGUCACCUAGAGAUGGAUCCGCGGUGCAUUAGUUAGUUGGUGGGGUAAAGGCUUACCAAGACGAUGAUGCAUAGCCGAGUUGAGAGACUGAUCGGCCACAUUGGGACUGAGACACGGCCCAAACUCCUACGGGAGGCUGCAGUAGGGAAUCUUCCACAAUGGGCGCAAGCCUGAUGGAGCAACGCCGCGUGUGUGAUGAAGGCUUUCGGGUCGUAAAGCACUGUUGUAUGGGAAGAAAUGCUAAAAUAGGGAAUGAUUUUAGUUUGACGGUACCAUACCAGAAAGGGACGGCUAAAUACGUGCCAGCAGCCGCGGUAAUACGUAUGUCCCGAGCGUUAUCCGGAUUUAUUGGGCGUAAAGCGAGCGCAGACGGUUGAUUAAGUCUGAUGUGAAAGCCCGGAGCUCAACUCCGGAAUGGCAUGGGAAACUGGUUAACUUGAGUGUUGUAGAGGUAAGUGGAACUCCAUGUGUAGCGGUGGAAUGCGUAGAUAUAUGGAAGAACACCAGUGGCGAAGGCGGCUUACUGGACAACAACUGACGUUGAGGCUCGAAAGUGUGGGUAGCAAACAGGAUUAGAUACCCUGGUAGUCCACACCGUAAACGAUGAAUACUAGGUGUUAGGAGGUUUCCGCCUCUUAGUGCCGAAG